rnacentral:rRNA from 1 species
GCGAGAUUUUUUCUUGUAGCAAUACAGGGAACCCCUCUAGCGGCGAACGGGUGCUUAACACGUGGGCAACCUGCCAUGAAGUGGGGGAUAGCUCGCCGAAAGGCGAACCCAUACCGCAUGUGAUUAGAGAGGACAUCCUUUCGAAAUUAAAGUCGGGGCAACCUGACGCUUCUUGUGGGGCCCGCGGCCUAUCAGCUAGUUGGUGAGGUAACGGCUCACCAAGGCUUUGACGGGUAGCUGGUCUGAGAGGACGACCAGCCACACUGGGACUGAGACACGGCCCAGACACCUACGGGUGGCAGCAGUCGAGAAUUUUUGACAAUGGGGGAAACCCUGAUCGAGCGACGCCGCGUGGAGGAUGAAGGUCUUCGGAUUGUAAACUCCUGCCAUUGGGGAACAAGGCGCAUACGUUAACUGCGUGUGUAUUGAUAGUACCCGAAGAGGAAGGGACGGCUAACUCUGUGCUA